rnacentral:rRNA from 1 species
CCUACGGGGGGCAGCAGUGGGGGAUAUUGCACAAUGGGGGAAACCCUGAUGCAGCAACGCCGCGUGAGUGAAGAAGUACUUCGGUAUGUAAAGCUCUAUCAGCAGGGAAGAGAAUGACGGUACCUGACUAAGAAGCACCGGCUAACUACGUGCCAGCAGCCGCGGUAAUACGUAGGGGGCGAGCGUUAUCCGGAUUUACUGGGUGUAAAGGGAGCGUAGACGGCUGGUCAAGUCGGAAGUGAAAGCCCGGGGCUUAACCCCGGAACGGCUUUUGAGACUGGGCAGCUAGAGUGCUGGAGAGGGUAGCGGAAUUCCUGGUGUAGCGGUGAAAUGCGUAGAUAUUAGGAGGAACACCAGUGGCGAAGGCGGCUUACUGGACAGUGACUGACGCUGAGGCGCGAAAGCGUGGGGAGCAAACAGGAUUAGAUACCCCAGUAGUC